rnacentral:rRNA from 1 species
GACAGAGGCCUCGAGCGUUAGGCGGAAUCACUGGGCUUAAAGCGUGUGUAGGCGGGCCCGUAAGUGUCUUGUGAAAUCCCACGGCUCAACCGUGGAACUGCUGGGCAUACUGGCGGGUCUUGGGCCAACUAGGGGGCAGCCGGAACAAGCGGUGGAGCGGUGAAAUGCGUAGAUAUCGCUUGGAACGCCGAAGGUGAAAACAGGCUGCUGGGGUUGCGCCGACGCUGAGACACGAAAGCCAGGGGAGCAAACGGG